rnacentral:rRNA from 1 species
CAGCCGUAAACGAUGCUCGCUAGGUGUAUCGGUGACCACGAGUUACCGAGGUGCCGAAGGGAAACCGUGAAACGUGCCGCCUGGGAAGUACGGUCGCAAGGCUGAAACUUAAAGGAAUUGGCGGGGGAGCACCGCAACGGGAGGAGCGUGCGGUUUAAUUGGAUUCAACACCGUAAAACUCACCAGGGAAGACUGUUACAUGAAGGCCGAGAUGAAGACUCUGCUAGAUUUUCAGAGAGGUGGUGCAUGGCGUCAGUGACU